UACGUAGGGGGCAAGCGUUGUCCGGAAUCAUUGGGCGUAAAGAGCGUGUAGGCGGCCCGGUAAGUCCGCUGUGAAAGUCCAGGGCUCAACCCUGGGAUGCCGGUGGAUACUGUCGGGCUAGAGUCCGGAAGAGGAGAAUGGAAUUCCUGGUGUAGCGGUGAAAUGCGCAGAUAUCAGGAAGAACACCCGUGGCUAAGGCGGCUCUCUAGUACGGUACUGACGCUGAGACGCGAAAGCGUGGGGAGCGAACAGG
rnacentral:rRNA from 1 species